rnacentral:rRNA from 1 species
AACGAACGCUGGCGGCAUGCCUAACACAUGCAAGUCGAACGAGAUCUUCGGGUCUAGUGGCGCACGGGUGCGUAACGCGUGGGAAUCUGCCCUUUGGUUCGGAAUAACAGUUGGAAACGACUGCUAAUACCGGAUGAUGACGAAAGUCCAAAGAUUUAUCGCCAGAGGAUGAGCCCGCGUAGGAUUAGCUAGUUGGGGUGGUAAAGGCGCACCAAGGGGACGAUCCUUAGCUGGUCUGAGAGGAUGAUCAGCCACACUGGGACUGAGACACGGCGAGGACUCGUACGGGAGGAAGCAGUGGGGGAUAUUGGACAAUGGGCGAAGGCAUGCGCCAGCAAUGCCGCGUGAGUGAUGGAGGCCUUAGGGUUGUAAAGCUCUUUUACCCGGGAUGAUAAUGACAGUACCGGGAGAAUAAGCACCGGCUACCUCCGUGCCAGCCGCCGCCGUAA